rnacentral:lncRNA from 1 species
GAGCUGUGGGAGCAUUGCUUGCAUUUAACAAGUGGACUGAUGUUUAGUGAGCACCUAUUAAGUGCCAGGUGCCGCGGACCCAGCAAUGACCAAGGCAUAGACUACUGCAUCCUGCCCUUGUCGAAUUCCCAGCUGGGUGGGGGGACAGGGGAGCACAGACACUAACUAGAGAAAGGGCAAGGUAAAUCAGGUAUAGUCAGUGCCCUGAAGACAGUUAUCUUGCAAGUGGCUGAGAAGGGCGGGGCUGUGUUCACUGAGGCUGUCGGGGAGGGUGUCUCUGAGGAGAUGACAUUUGAGCUGAGACCUGGAAGAUGAGAAGGAGCUGGUCAUGCAGAGAUCUUGGGAAGCAGCACUUCAGGCAGAGGGCACGGCCCGUGCAAAGGCCCUGGGGCAGGACCUCACCUGGCGUGUUGGAGGAACACCAAGUAGGCCCGUAUGGCUGGGGGCAAAGUGGAUGGAUAGGGGACAGAUUUUUGGAGUCACCCACAAAACUUGCUGAGAUGGAUGUGAAGAGGCUGAAAGCCCCUUUCUCUGGGGGCAGGGCAGUGCUGUGGUUAACAGCGCAGCGUCUGGACUCCUGGGCCCGGGUUCAGAUCCCAGCUUGGCCAUUUCUGGGCUGUGCGACCUUGGCCCCAUCCCUUGCCCACCCUGGCCCCGAGUUUUCCCACCUAUGGAAUGGUCAGAAGAGCCCCUGUGACCUACCCCGCUGGGCUCAGUGAGGGACAGGGCUGGGAACACGGGGUAGGCACCCUGUAAGUGUUUGCUGUUGUCCCUCUUUGAAGGUCGGAGCCUCAGGCUCUGGGGAGCAGUGAGGCACAGAUGGGGAUGACAGCCUCCCUGAGAUGACCCAGCAAACUGGGGGCCCCUUCCCCUCGAACACUGUUCUCCACAGUCUGACGGUUCUCAAGCCCCAUCCCCCAGCACCCACGUCACUCUGCCAGCCCCUCCAUCAUUCCUGAGCCCUGACUCACCAGGACUUGUGGUCCGCUCUGACCCCGGGGCCUUUCCCCUGGGACCUAUUUCCCGCCUUUGUCUUCUUCAAGUUCAUUCGCCAGGUCUUCCGUUCCCAGCAGCACUUGGCACUCCCUGAGACCUCCACCCCCAUUCCCCACCACCUCUCUCAGC